GCGUGGUGGGGCGUAGGGGGGUGGCUGGCGCAGCGGAGCGCGGGGUGCACAGGCAUGCGGCGAGAGGGCACGCACCGGCUCGGGUCAGGGCAAAGCCGGGAGCACUUCUCCAAAAGAAAGUGGAGGGCACAGACGCGGGGACGAACGGAGGCGCGCGUUGCCGAGUAGGGACCCCAGAACUGGGCUGGACCCCGAUGGAAAGAGCCCAGCUCCGGCGAGAGCAAUGCGCAGCGCGGCGCCAUGAGUCCCCGGUUCGGGGCGAGAGGGCGUGACCCUCCCUGUCCAGAGAGUUGCGUGGCGCACACACCCGAAUCUGGGGACGAGGACGACAAGGGGCGCGCUAACGGAGUCCGGAGCUGGCUGGCGGGGCCGACCGGGUACGGGCGGCGUAGGGACAGAGCGCGCUGGCCGGCUUGGGAGGUGGCAGGAGGGGUCGACCUGGGACCGCGCGGCGCUGUGUCGAUGUCGGACCGCGGGCCAAGGGCGAAAGGGCACCCUUGGCCCCUUCCACCGGAGACCCAGGUGCAAAUUUGAGAAUUGGGGGCAAGGACGGCAGAGAGCGCUGGGCGGAGGCCUGGAGGGGCUGAAGGGGGCGGUGGGUGGGAGGAUGCAGAGGUCACGGAGGACAGAGACUGCUGAGGGGGUGGGGGAGACCCAUCGGGGCCUGGGGAGGAGGGCAGGCAGGCGAGGGUUCUUCUGGGCAGGGCCUCACAGAUGGACGGAGGUCUCCUUCAACUCUGGGCAGGCGGCGAGGGACCCGGCGCUGCUUGGAUUUGGCGGAAGCAUCAACGUCCUGGACCGUGGCUUGGGCGUCAUCCAAGCCUACCAAAAUGGGGACAUCGUCCUCGACAACACCACCAGCAUGGGACGCUGGGAGUUUGUGGGCUCCUUCUUUUUCUCCGUGUCCACCAUCACCACCAUCGGCUAUGGCAACCUGAGCCCCCGCACGAUGGGCGCCCGCCUCUUCUGCAUCUUCUUUGCUCUCGUGGGGAUUCCGCUCAACCUCGUGGUGCUCAACCGACUGGGGCAUCUCAUGCAGCAGGGGGUGCACAGCUGCGCCCGCAUGCUGGGGGUCACCUGGAAGGACCCGGCCAAGGCCCGGUGGCUGGUGGGCUCCAGCGCCCUCCUGUCCGGCCUCCUGCUUUUCCUGCUGCUGCCCCCGCUUCUCUUCUCCCACGUGGAGGGCUGGAGCUACGUGGAGGGCUUCUACUUCUCCUUCGUCACCCUCAGCACCGUGGGCUUCGGCGACUACGUGAUUGGGAUGAACCCCUCCCGGAAUUACCCUCUGUGGUACAAGAACACAGUGUCUCUGUGGAUCCUCUUUGGGAUGGCGUGGCUGGCCUUGAUCAUCAAACUGAUCCUCUCCCUGCUGGAGGCUCCACGAGGAUCGUAUCCCUGCUACUGCCACAGCUCUGAGGGGAACUUCAAGCCCCGAAGCUGGAGACAGAGCCUGGAUGGAGAGGCAGAGCCCCACUCCCCACAGCCAGGCUGCUCUCUGGAGGGACCUGUAAUCAUGAAUUGCCCAGAACCCUCUGUUCAAGUCUCACACUGUGGAAAGGACAGCUAGCUAUAUUCUAUUUGUUCCACCUUCUUCUUCAGCAGCAAGAUCCCUGAUUUUAAGCUUGGCAUAAGACCACCCAGACUAAAGUCUACAUUUUUUGGUCUUCCCUUAAAGCUAGGUGCAGCUAUAUGAUUAAAUGUUGCCCAACAGGCUACACAGAGAAGUAUUCUGUGUGACUUAUUAUGGAUGUGACUUCCAGUGUGUGGGGGAUGCUCCUCUUUACCACGUCCUUCUUCUAGCUGGCUGCAAUGCGGAUACGGUGGCUGGAGCUCUGGCAGCUAUAUUGCACCAUGAGGUAGAGGCCAUGCUUGAGAUUGGCGACACAAUAAGAUAGAAAGAGCCUGGAUUCCUGAUGUUUGCAGAGCCACCAUAACAAACCUGGACUGAAUACCACCAGACUUCAUUUAUUUCCAGAUGACACACGCACCAGAGACAAAGGCAGCUUCUGAGACUGGAGUAUACAUAAAGAGAAAUCACUCCCUCCCCAGGUGAGUUUGCCCAGGACUGGUGGAGGGAACGGAUUGAGGGCCGCACUGCAGGCCCCCACAACCCCAGAGACCUUCCAGAAAAGCCCAGGACAGGCCAGUGGGCUCCUUCUGCCUCAACAUGCUCCACUGCAUUUGAAGCUCCAACCACAGUUUGCAAAACCAGGUAGGAUUUGCAGAGGUCACUUCUGUUUGCAGAGCAUCUCUCCCUAAGCAUUUCUGUCUCUCACUCAGGGUUGCCACUGAAGCAGCACAUAGCUGUGUGGUCCCCACCUCACCCGGGAACCCAAGCCCAGCCAGGAGCCCCCGGCAGCACCAACCAGCACCUACAGAUCACCUGGGGCAGUUGGGUUCUUGGCCUCAGUGGGUAUCUGCAACUCUGUUCCCCUCUACCAUCCUAUAGGUAGCAUCACAGGGACCUGGGGGGGUGGGGCUCCAUGUGGCCCCUCCCUGUGAUGAACCCCUCAGCCUCAGGGCCCUCCUGGAACUGGGUCUGGGGCAGCCUCCUGGCCAAGGAAGAAGGAAGGGCUGUUACACCAACCAGCUUGUGCCAACUGGCCUGGGCCAAAGUGGACCAAGGCCAGACCCAGGAGCAAACACCAGCGAGUAAACAGCAGGGUCCGUGCCCACUUCUUAAGGCCCACAGGCUGGGCAGAGGAAAGUGGAGGUGAGGAAGAGAUUGCUGGAGGUCUGGAAGUAGCAUCCCUUGUGUUGAUACUUAGCACACUCCAGGAGGACCUAGCAGUUCAAAACUGGGAGAGAGGGAGAGACUGGAGUGCUGGGUUGGCCUCUGUGGCCCCAACUCUGUCUUGCCUUGAACCCCUUUCUCCUCACGCCUAGCCUCUCUAGACAGAGCCCCUCUCUCCCCACCAAGCCCUUCACCCGUGUGCACUCCUGCCCCUGCUCACAAUGCCUGCCCCAGAGGGAACUUACAACCUGUGGUGCUGGGGGUGGAGCAGAAUAAGGCUUCUUGAUUGGCCAGUUCCUUACAGACGUCUGCUCCACAGCCAAUGAGAAGAGUCACUGGAACUCUAAGUACAGAUCCGGAAGUGGGGAGGGGACACAGGUGAAGAGUGAGGGGUUGUAGAGCGGCGGGAGAAAUAGAGUAACGAAGUCGGGAUCUGGGAAAGGCACGAGAACAGAAAAGCCGACCUUAGGACAGAAAUCAUAGAGCAGAACGGGCGGCGAGGUCUCUCCCACGUGGAGCGAUGAUGCCGCAAUAGGGUCAGCCAGAGAGCUGUGCACAGUGUGCGGGUAAGGAACCAAGUCAUUCAUUCGCUCACACAGCCUGGACCACCAAGUCCUGGAGGAGGAAGGAAAGGGGCCCCUCAGAGCAGUAUACUGUGGUUGUAAAGGGCGUGAGUUUAGAGCCAGCCUGCCUGGCUCACCCACCAGCCCUGUGAUCCUGGACAAACCACUUAAAGUUUCUUUGCAUCAGUUUUCUCCUCUGAAAAAUGGAGAUAAGAGCAGAGCUGAUCUCCCGGGAUUAAACGAGUGACUGUGCAAAGUACCAGAAGAAUGUGCGUCAGCCCAGAGGAAGAAUGAUGUGCAUGUCAGCUGCUGGCGGUCCACGGCAGGCCCAGUGGCCGGGGCAGGAGGCGGACACUGUGCAGGCCGGCAGCCAGGUGACAGGCAGCGCCUCUGAUGACCCCUCUCGGGGCUGGGGGCUGGCCAGGCAGGCUGGAGCCCUACCCUUGGGCGCUCCCAGGCUGAUGCCAUGGUGCUGCUGGCCGGGAUGAGGGGCCUGGACCCGCAUGAGUCAGAGGGGAACCUCCUAGCAGAGGCCAGGAAGUGUGUGCUGAGUGUGCAAGUGCAGGGCCAGGGGACCACGAUGCGGAGGGACGGGCAGACCCCUCACACCAGCCAGCUGCCGCCUCUGCCUCCCCUCCUGGAGGGGCUGCCCAGCUCUGUGGUCCCAGCACGGCCGGGGCAGAUCAGACCCAAUGUCCAGCAGCGGUUCCCUUUGAAACAGUGGCAUCUUUUACGAUCAUCGUGGUCGUCAUCACUAUCCUUUCCUAACAUUUAUUCUGUGCUUAGUAAGCAUCAGAUGCUAUUCCAAGCUCUUGGUCGUUUUCUUCUCCCAUCAACUCUGUGAGAAAGGAGCUAUUUAUUUAACGCUGUUUUAACGUGGGGAAAAUGAGAUUUUCGAUGGAUGUUAAGACCAGAGGUAGCCACGGAUCCCCGUGGGUGGGUAAUCUUUUUUUUUUUUUUGCGGUACGCAUGCCCCUCACUGCUGUGGCCUCCCCCACCGCGGAGCACAGGCUCCGGACGCGCAG